GUCCCUGUAGUGCAAUGGAUAGCACGUUGCACUUCUAAUCCAAAGGUCGUAGGUUUUUAAUCCCACCUGGGAUA
rnacentral:tRNA from 1 species